CCGACUCGUACUCGCUACAUUCUCGCCUCCUGAGAAGAAAAAUGGAACAAAAAGGAAAAGGGUGAGCUCAACUAGCCCAGUAAAGAAUAUUAUGACUAAGAUAAUACAGAACAAAUUAUCAUUAGUCUUCAACAGGGAAAAAUCUAAUAUAAUACAAUAGACAACAAGUUUUAAAUCAAUACUCGCAGCGGAAAAUAUUAAUUCAUAGAAGAGUUACG
rnacentral:lncRNA from 1 species